AACGAACGCUGGCGGCAUGCCUAACACAUGCAAGUCGAACGAGACCUUCGGGUCUAGUGGCGCACGGGUGCGUAACGCGUGGGAACCUGCCCUUAGGUUCGGAAUAACUCCCCGAAAGGGGUGCUAAUACCGGAUAAUGUCUUCGGACCAAAGAUUUAUCGCCUUUGGAUGGGCCCGCGUUGGAUUAGCUAGUUGGUAGGGUAAAAGCCUACCAAGGCGACGAUCCAUAGCUGGUCUGAGAGGAUGAUCAGCCACACUGGGACUGAGACACGGCCCAGACUCCUACGGGAGGCAGCAGUGGGGAAUAUUGGACAAUGGGGGAAAGCCUGAUCCAGCAAUGCCGCGUGAGUGAUGAAGUCCUUAGGGUUGUAAAGCUCUUUUACCCGGGAUGAUAAUGACAGUACCGGGAGAAUAAGCUCCGGCUAACUCCGUG
rnacentral:rRNA from 1 species